CGUAGGUGGCAAGCGUUGUCCGGAAUUAUUGGGCGUAAAGCGCGCGCAGGCGGUUCCUUAAGUCUGAUGUGAAAGCCCCCGGCUCAACCGGGGAAGGUCAUUGGAAACUGGGAAACUUGAGUGCAGAAGAGAAGAGCGGAAUUCCACGUGUAGCGGUGAAAUGCGUAGAGAUGUGGAGGAACACCAGUGGCGAAGGCGGCUCUUUGGUCUGUAACUGACGCUGAGGCGCGAAAGCGUGGGGAGCAAACAGGAUUAGAUACCCUGGUAGUCCACGCCGUAAACGAUGAGUGCUAAGUGUUAGAGGGUUUCCGCCCUUUAGUGCUGCAGCUAACGCAUUAAGCACUCCGCCUGGGGAGUACGGCCGCAAGGCUG
rnacentral:rRNA from 1 species